rnacentral:rRNA from 1 species
GACGAACGCUGGCGGCGUGCUUAACACAUGCAAGUCGAACGGAAAGGCCCUGCUUGCAGGGUACUCGAGUGGCGAACGGGUGAGUAACACGUGGGUGAUCUGCCCUGCACUUCGGGAUAAGCCUGGGAAACUGGGUCUAAUACCGGAAAGGCGCCAUUUUUAGUGUGAUGGUUGGAAAGUUUUUUCGGUGUAGGAUGAGCUCGCGGCCUAUCAGCUUGUUGGUGGGGUAAUGGCCUACCAAGGCGGCGACGGGUAGCCGGCCUGAGAGGGUGGACGGCCAAAUAGGGACUGAGAUACGGCCCAGACUCCUACGGGAGGAAGCAGUGGGGAAUAUUGCACAAGGGGCGCAAGCCUGAUGCAGCGACGCCGCGUGGGGGAUAACGGCCUUCGGGUUGUAAACUCCUUUCGCUAGAGACGAAGCUUUUUGUGACGGUACCUAGAUAAGAAGCACCGGCUAACUACGUG